rnacentral:rRNA from 1 species
AUUGAACGCUGGCGGCAUGCUUUACACAUGCAAGUCGAACGGUAACAGGUUAAGCUGACGAGUGGCGAACGGGUGAGUAAUGCAUCGGAACGUGCCCGGUCGGGGGGGAUAACGCAGCGAAAGCUGCGCUAAUACCGCAUACGAUCUGAGGAUGAAAGCGGGGGACCGUAAGGCCUCGCGCGAUCGGAGCGGCCGAUGUCAGAUUAGGUAGUUGGUGGGGUAAAGGCCUACCAAGCCGACGAUCUGUAGCUGGUCUGAGAGGACGACCAGCCACACUGGGACUGAGACACGGCCCAGACUCCUACGGGAGGCAGCAGUGGGGAAUUUUGGACAAUGGGCGCAAGCCUGAUCCAGCAAUGCCGCGUGCAGGAAGAAGGCCUUCGGGUUGUAAACUGCUUUUGUACGGAGCGAAAAGGCUCUCUCUAAUACAGGGGGUUCAUGACGGUACCGUAAGAAUAAGCACCGGCUAACUACGUGCCAGCAGCCGCGGUAAAAC